AUGGGGUAGCGUUGCACACUGAGG
rnacentral:piRNA from 1 species